AUUCUCAAGGCCACAAUCACAUGCAUAGAAUCAUUCCUUGAAGAGCAGAAAAAUAUUACAACAACAGGCAACAACAAAGAAUCAGACAUGUUUCCUUCUUAAAUUGCAUCGGAAUGUACUAUUUUGAUUCUACAUUAAAACCAUAGACCUUUUUGACCUUCCAUCUAAAGAGAAAACGGUCCCCUUCACCUAGGCUAGGUACUCAUUUUGCAUAGGUUUUUAGCUUAAUAUACUGAAUCCAUUAUUUGGACUCAUUAUAAGUUGAAAAUUGGCUCCUUUUACUUUUACUUUUUUAUUUUUUAUUGAAAGCUCCUUUUACUUUUUUUUUUUAAUCGAAAAUUUGUUCCUUUUACUUGGCUUGAAGCCUUGAGUGCAAUACCAGGAACAGCAUAUUAUCUUCUUGGUGGAAUUGCCAAGCUUCAGGCAUCUUCUUACGAGGAAUUAUUCCAUUAAGAUAAUGGCUUGGAUGAUUUGCAAGACAUUUAUGAAUCAUACAACUCA
rnacentral:misc_RNA from 1 species